rnacentral:lncRNA from 1 species
GGUACUUGCUGGACAGACUGCUGCCACGCUGGCUGGCUAGGUCGCUCUGGCCUGAAGUUUAGUAUCCUGCCUGAGAUUUCAGUCAAGAGUGGAGCCAGCUGAUACGACCUUGUCAACUUGACACCAUGGCUGAGCAUGUGGACAAUGUAUCCCUUCACCUGGGAACAGGUGGAGCGCUGUGGUGCAGCAGAGAGCUCAGUGUUCCACAUGGCCUGUGCCAAGCCCCUAACAGUCUUGCUUGUGUCUUCUUUCAAGGUCCACAGAACAAGUAAGUCCAGGUCUGUGGUUCUUAACCAUGGGUCUGUUUGACCUAACAGACACAGGAGGGAUACAG